AGCAGUGGGGAAUUUUGGACAAUGGGCGAAAGCCUGAUCCAGCAAUGCCGCGUGUGUGAAGAAGGCCUUCGGGUUGUAAAGCACUUUUGUCCGGAAAGAAAUCCUUGGCUCUAAUACAGUCGGGGGAUGACGGUACCGGAAGAAUAAGCACCGGCUAACUACGUGCCAGCAGCCGCGGUAAUACGUAGGGUGCGAGCGUUAAUCGGAAUUACUGGGCGUAAAGCGUGCGCAGGCGGUUUGCUAAGACCGAUGUGAAAUCCCCGGGCUCAACCUGGGAACUGCAUUGGUGACUGGCAGGCUAGAGUAUGGCAGAGGGGGGUAGAAUUCCACGUGUAGCAGUGAAAUGCGUAGAGAUGUGGAGGAAUACCGAUGGCGAAGGCAGCCCCCUGGGCCAAUACUGACGCUCAUGCACGAAAGCGUGGGGAGCAAACAGGAUUAGAUACCCUGGUAGUCCACGCCCUAAACGAUGUCAACUAGUUGUUGGGGAUUCAUUUCCUUAGUAACGUAGCUAACGCGUGAGGUUGACCGCCUGGGGAGUACGGUCGCAAGAUUAAAACUCAAAGGAAUUGACGGGGACCCGCACAAGCGGUGGAUGAUGUGGAUUAAUUCGAUGCAACGCGAAAAACCUUACCUACCCUUGACAUGGUCGGAAUCCCGCUGAGAGGUGGGAGUGCUCGAAAGAGAACCGGCGCACAGGUGCUGCAUGGCUGUCGUCAGCUCGUGUCGUGAGAUGUUGGGUUAAGUCCCGCAACGAGCGCAACCCUUGUCCUUAGUUGCUACGCAAGAGCACUCUAAGGAGACUGCCGGUGACAAACCGGAGGAAGGUGGGGAUGACGUCAAGUCCUCAUGGCCCUUAUGGGUAGGGCUUCACACGUCAUACAAUGGUCGGAACAGAGGGUUGCCAACCCGCGAGGGGGAGCUAAUCCCAGAAAACCGAUCGUAGUCCGGAUUGCACUCUGCAACUCGAGUGCAUGAAGCUGGAAUCGCUAGUAAUCGCGGAUCAGCAUGCCGCGGUAGUACGUUCCCGGGCCUUGUACACACCGCC
rnacentral:rRNA from 1 species